rnacentral:rRNA from 1 species
UACAGAGGGUGCGAGCGUUAAUCGGAAUUACUGGGCGUAAAGGGUGCGUAGGUGGUUUUGUAAGUUAGAUGUGAAAUCCCUGGGCUUAACCUGGGGACUGCGUCUGAUACUGCGAAGCUAGAGUACUGUAGAGGGAAGUGGAAUUUCCGGUGUAGCAGUGAAAUGCGUAGAUAUCGGAAGGAACAUCAGUGGCGAAGGCGACUUCCUGGACAGAUACUGACACUGAGGCACGAAAGCGUGGGGAGCAAACAGG